UAGGGAAUAUUAGUAAUGGGCGAAAGCCUGAACUAGCAACACCGCGUGUGCGAAGAAGGCCUUCGGGUUGUAAAGCACUUUUUGAGAGGAUGAGGAAGGACGGUACUCUCAGAAUAAGUCUCGGCUAACUACGUGCCAGCAGCCGCGGUAACACGUAGGAGGCAAACGUUAUCCGGAUUUACUGGGCGUAAAGCGCGUGUAGGUGGUUUGGUAAGUAGAGCGUGAAAGCUCCUGGCUCAACUGGGAGAGGUCGUUCUAAACUGCCGGACUAGAGGAUGGUAGAGGGAGGUGGAAUUCCGGGUGUAGCGGUGGAAUGCGCAGAUAUCCGGAGGAACACCAGUGGCGAAAGCGGCCUCCUGGCCCAUUUCUGACGCUAAGACGCGAAAGCUAGGGUAGCAAACG
rnacentral:rRNA from 1 species